UACGAAGGGGGCUAGCGUUGUUCGGAAUUACUGGGCGUAAAGGGCGCGCAGGCGGCCCUCCAAGUCAGGCGUGAAAGCCCCGGGCUCAACCCGGGAACAGCGCUUGAGACUGGGGGGCUUGAGUUCGGGAGAGGAGAGUGGAAUUCCCAGUGUAGAGGUGAAAUUCGUAGAUAUUGGGAAGAACACCGGUGGCGAAGGCGGCUCUCUGGACCGACACUGACGCUGAGGCGCGAAAGCGUGGGGAGCAAACAGG
rnacentral:rRNA from 1 species